rnacentral:rRNA from 1 species
AUGGCGCCUGCUACUCUGUCGCCGGAGGAAGGAGCGGUCGCCAACAACGUCGGCGAGGGGCACGGGAGCGACGCGGGAACCCCGGCGAGGAGGCUACGGUCCUUGCACCCGGACGUGGCGGAGUUGCUCCAGCGAACCCGUGACCAGCGGACCAGGAAGAAGGCCUCGCCGACGGCGCGUGCGGCCAAGGGCGGGGAGGUGGGGCGCGCUCGGUACGACUACGUGUUCGAGCGCGAGGAGGAUGAUGAGGCGGGGCUCCCGGCGCCGCCGCGCCUGGUGUGGGCCAAGGUGAGGGGCUACCACUGGUGGCCGGCGCAGGUGUUCGACCCGGCGGACGCGUCGGAGCUCGCGCUCGGGGAGCGCCGGCGGCGCGGCGCGGCCCUGGUCGCCAACUUCUGGGAGCGGACGUACGCGUGGGAGGCCGACCCGGCGGCGCUCCGCCCGUUCCGCGAGGGCUUCCCGCGCUUCGCGGCCGUCGACCGCGCCCACGUCCCGUGCUGGGGCGCCCGCAAGACCAUGUCCCCGUUCGCCUCCGCCGUGGACGCCGCGCUGGGCGAGGUCGCGCGCCGCGUCGACUUCGGCCUGUCGUGCGACUGCGCCAUCAGCCGCGGCGUCGCCAAGAGGCAGGUGGUCGACAACGCCGGCGUCCGGGAGGGCGCGCACGGGGCCGUGGUGGACACCGCCUUCGCCCGGGACGCGUUCCGCGGCGAGGCGUUCGUCGAGUACCUCUCCGCGCUCGCCGUCGCGCCGCUCGCCGGGGCCGACAGGCUCGAGCUCACCGUCGCCACGGCGCAGCUCAGGGCCUUCACCCGGUGGAGGGGCACCAGAGGCCUCCCCAUGUACACGGUUUGCUACGGCAUCCGCGACAUUGCCGAUGGCGCCAUGGGGACCACGCCGGCACGCCGUGGCCGCGCCAGCGCCACCGCCAAGAGGGGACGGCCAAGGGGCGACAGUGCCGAUGGCAAAUGGAAGGACUCAAGGUGCGUCACCUGCGGCAGAGCAAGAGAGAGCGUGGAAGACGCCAUGGAGCUGGGGAACUACGAGCCAACCCCACAGCCCCUGUCGCACAAGGCGACCACAAAGAUGGGGAAGCUCAUGCGCAGGGCCGCACGGCGGAUGUCGCUGUCGCCGCCGGUGACCCGCAGAGCCGACCGUGCCACGCCCACGCCCACUCCUCCGGUGAACGCUGGUGUGGGGAUGGCAAGGUGCACAAGGGCCGCUGCUGCCGAUCAUGCCGCUCAGCUGCAUGACGUCCCUGUCACCACCGCUGCUCCUCCUCCGGCGAAGCCGCAGAACAAGGACGAGCAGCCCCAGCUGACCGGGCUGCUGCUGAACUUCACCGGCCCCAACGCCGUCCCUCCGGCGACCGACCUCGUCGAGAUCUUCAGCCGGUUCGGGCCUGUGGUGGAGGCCAGGCCGGAAGGCUUCUCCGUCGCCGUGGUGAUCUUCGAGAGCAGCCUGGAUGCCGCGGCGGCGUUCGCGGGCACGGCCAAGAUCGGCGCCCUCAGCCCCAACCUCAUCAGCUUCCGCCUCGCCUACUCGCUGUCCGCUCCCGCCGCGCAGGUCGAUGAUUCUCCACAGAGCCCCAUGAACGCCGAUGAGAUGGAUCACCUGCUUGAUGAGGCUGAGGGAAUGGAUCUGCUGGACCUCCUGGCAGUCGAAGCUCUUCACUAG